AUUGAACGCUAGCGGCAGGCCUGACACAUGCAAGUCGAACGAGUGGCGGACGGGUGAGUAAUGUCUGGGAAACUGCCUGAUGGAGGGGGAUAACUACUGGAAACGGUAGCUAAUACCGCAUACCAUCAGAUGUGCCCAGAUGGGAUUAGCUAGUUGGUGGGGUAACGGCUCACCAAGGCGACGAUCCCUAGCUGGUCUGAGAGGAUGACCAGCCACACUGGGACUGAGACACGGUCCAGACUCCUACGGGAGGAAGCAGUGGGGAAUAUUGCACAAUGGGGGAAAGCCUGAUGCAGCCAUGCCGCGUGUAUGAAGAAGGCCUUCGGGUUGUAAAGUACUUUCAGCGGGGAGGCGUUACCUGCAGAAUAAGCACCGGCUAACUCCGUGCCAGCAGCCGCGGUAAUUC
rnacentral:rRNA from 1 species